AAGACUUUUUGGUGGAUUUGGGU
rnacentral:siRNA from 1 species